rnacentral:rRNA from 1 species
CCGCGUGGAGGAUUAAGGCCCUCUGGGUUGUAAACUCCUUUUAUCUGGGAAGAAAUGCAUUUUUUCUAAAGUGCUUGACGGUACCAGAGGAAUAAGCACCGGCUAACUCCGUGCCAGCAGCCGCGGUAAUACGGAGGGUGCAAGCGUUAUCCGGAUUCACUGGGUUUAAAGGGUGCGUAGGCGGGCAGGUAAGUCCGUGGUGAAAUCUCUGAGCUUAACUCAGAAACUGCCAUGGAUACUAUUUGUCUUGAAUGUUGUGGAGGUAAGCGGAAUAUGUCAUGUAGCGGUGAAAUGCUUAGAUAUGACAUAGAACACCAAUUGCGAAGGCAGCUUACUACACAAAUAUUGACGCUGAGGCACGAAAGCGUGGGGAUCAAACAGGAUUAGAUACCCUGGUAGUCCACGCCCUAAACGAUGAUUACUCGACAUCAGCGAUACACUGUUGGUGUCUGAGCGAAAGCAUUAAGUAAUCCACCUGGGAAGUACGAUCGCAAGAUUGAAACUCAAA